GGCGGUCGCGGGCUGCCGGCGGUCCCCUCCCCUACCGCCCCGCCCAGCUCCGGGGGUGUGUCCCAGCCCGCCCGGGGCCUCGCGCUCUGCAGGCUGGCAGGACGACUGGACUCCGUUACCUUUUGAAGAGAUUGUGAAGAAUGAAGAAAUGUUAUUGCACUACCCAUACACCUGCCGUUCCCACUCCUCUUCUUCCGCUGAAGUAGCAUCAGCUUUCCAUCCGGAACUUCCUUAACGUUUCUCAAUUAGAUUGUGAUUCUGGAACUGUGGAGAGUGCACCCAGAGGUGAUGUGCCUUUCUCAGUGCUCCAUAGGAGGCGUUCCAUGCUGUCAGGAGGACUUGAUAUGGAUGAUAAAAGGUUAGCAGAUCCAGUCAGGAAGUGUUCUUGAUUCUUCUGGAACAAGAUCUACUUUUCCGUCAUGAUAUUGGAAACAAAGCGUGUCCAGUUCUGCUGGAGCUGUCUGCCCCAGACAGUGUUGAUGAGGAGAGCAGAAGCUGUGAGCUGAACCUGACAAGUAGUGACUGCAAGAACCCGUUGGGCCUGUCCUGUAUGCUGGCGUGUGCAGGACUCGAAGGGACAUAUGUGUUCAUUCUGGCCAGCACCAUUCCUGUAGCCAAGGUGGCCAGUGACUCAGCCUCAGUCACAGGAAGCUCAUGGGUCAACCCUGAGCCUGCUGCAGAGGCAGUGGUCCUUUGAGCACUCCUCAUUUAAGAAGGCAAGGCUCUGGAAAUGGAAAUGAUGUGGUGGCCGAGGCAUGGGCCUAGCACCUCUGCUGGGUGAAAUGCUCAAGUGCACAGACAGAGCCUUUGACCUGCCUGGAUCCUGGGGCUUGUUUCUGCAAGGCAGGAACAUCAUGUGCUCGAGUUCAGGUGUCGUCAGCUGCACUGAGAGCCACGCAGUAUGACUCUGCAGAUGACCCCAGCAUAGGCCAACAGAAGGUCGAAGAGAAGGUCCACUGCAGAUCCCAGCUCUGCCUCUGACAGUCACAUCCCCCUGCCAGCUUCAUCAUCUCGGAAUGAGCUCUCUGUGGCCAGGAUAUUACAAAGCACAGGUAUUUUAGAAAUGCAAGUAACCCUCAUCUUGAAGUUGCUGGAGAGACCAUCUUGGCUUUGCAAUCUGACCAGGACCAAGAUGUUUCCUUUUUGCCACCCUAGAACCAAGCGACAGAGUCUUCUGGACCCUACUGCACUAGGAAAACAGGAUGGACUCCUCUGGGAAGGUUGUUUCAUGCCUGGCACCUUUGGCUUGUGACCUGAAGGGGAACUGAUUGUAUUUUAUCUGCUGAAGAAGAAAAGAUUUCUGAAACUUCCACAUUGUGCACCCAAAUGACAGACCCCUUUCCUGUCUGAGGCUCCCAGACUGAAUCUUGGUGGGGACUUAAGUGCAGAUGGCUAGGCCUGUGCCACAUUCCCCAGCCCCACAGGCCUGACCCAGGACACCUUGUGGACAGGGUGCAGGCCUGCCAGCAACUUGUUUUGUUCAAGACAGACUAUAUUCGAGUCUCCCCUCCCGAUCGCUUAUUAGAAGCUCUGAAAUCUUUACUGGACUUGCAUAUUUGUUUCCCUUUUGCUUUUAUAUAAAAUAUAGUUUAUGGUGCUAUAUUUAUUUUUAACUGAGAUACUGUACAUAUGUAAAUAUCUUUUUUUAUUUUUAGAUAAGAUCUCACUAAGUUGCUCAAGCUGGCCUUGAACUUGGGAUCCAUCUGCCUCAGCCUCCCAAGCAGCUGGGAUUACAGGCGUGCACCGCCAUGCCCAGCUUGUAAAUAGCUCUUGACAGGAAGAAAAUAUAUGAAUGUAAUAUUAGCUUCCUAUCAGUGAACUGAACAAAUAUAUCAUUGAAAUUUAUGCUGCAAUCCGAGUUGCUGCAAACAUAGCCCAGUUUGUUUACUUUUGAAAAAUGUGACAAAGCUACUAAGAAUGAUUUAUGGCAGGCUUUCUACUACUGUGGUUGGGACUUCUUAAGCACUCACCCUCUGCUUCUUUCCGGAACUCUCCUCACAAAGAUGGCGUUGGUGUAAAGCUGAAGGAUUUUUCAUUUUCGUACAGAUAUAUUGUCGAUGUUUAAGAACUUGAGAGGGAAGUAGAUAACUGAGAUGCAUGGAUAUCAACUUUCAUGCUUUAGAAUACUAAAAGAUAGGAAACCAUAGUUCUGAUCAGAACUUGCCCACAAAUACCAGUGAUUCUGGGGGGUUAAAUCAUGUACUCUUCAAAUUGAUGUAAGUACACCGAACUUAGAUUUCAUGCUUUUAAAAUUUAGACUCAAAUGCUUUAGAAUUUAACAGUUUUUUCAUUAGUUAAUAAUUCAAGAUUCUGUAAACAUUUGAUUAAAUUCUGCAUUCAUA